AGUGAACGCUGGCGGUAGGCCUAACACAUGCAAGUCGAACGGCAGCACAGUAAGAGCUUGCUCUUACGGGUGGCGAGUGGCGGACGGGUGAGGAAUACAUCGGAAUCUACUUUUUCGUGGGGGAUAACGUAGGGAAACUUACGCUAAUACCGCAUACGACCUACGGGUGAAAGCAGGGGAUCUUCGGACCUUGCGCGAUUGAAUGAGCCGAUGUCGGAUUAGCUAGUUGGCGGGGUAAAGGCCCACCAAGGCGACGAUCCGUAGCUGGUCUGAGAGGAUGAUCAGCCACACUGGAACUGAGACACGGUCCAGACUCCUACGGGAGGCAGCAGUGGGGAAUAUUGGACAAUGGGCGCAAGCCUGAUCCAGCCAUACCGCGUGGGUGAAGAAGGCCUUCGGGUUGUAAAGCCCUUUUGUUGGGAAAGAAAGGCAGCAGGUUAAUACCCCGCUGUUCUGACAGUACCCAAAGAAUAAGCACCGGCUAACUUCGUG
rnacentral:rRNA from 1 species